GAUUUUCGCAAUGCCCGAAAGGGUGACGAAGCGACGCCGCGUGCGGGAAGAAGGCCUCCGGGUUGUAAACCGCUGUCGGGAGUUAAGAAAUGUAAGGAUGUUAAUAGCAUCUUUGCUUGACUAAGGCUCCGGAGGAAGCCACGGCUAACUCUGUGCCAGCAGCCGCGGUAAUACAGAGGCGGCAAGCGUUGUUCGGAAUUAUUGGGCGUAAAGAGCACGUAGGCGGCUAUGUAAGUCGGUUGUGAAAGCCUUCCGCUCAACGGGAGAACAGCAUCCGAUACUGCAUGGCUUGAGUGCGGGAGGGGAGAGUGGAACUUCUGGUGGAGCGGUGAAAUGCGUAGAUAUCAGAAGGAGCGCCGGCGGCGAAAGCGGCUCUCUGGCCCAUAACUGACGCUGAGUGUGCGAAAGCUAGGGGAGCAAACGGGAUUAGAUACCCCGGUAGUCCUAGCCGUAAACGAUGGGCACUAAGUAGAGGGGUUUUAAUC
rnacentral:rRNA from 1 species